rnacentral:hammerhead_ribozyme from 1 species
AUCCAGCUGACGAGUCCCAAAUAGGAGGAAACGCACUUUCCAGAU